GAAAGCGAAGAAACUUACAACAAAGAGUCCCUCCCGACUGUUUACCAAAAACACAGCACUCUGCUAACUCGUAAGAGGAUGUAUAGGGUGUGACGCCUGCCCGGUGCUCGAAGGUUAAUUGAUGGGGUUAGCAUUAGCGAAGCUCUUGAUCGAAGCCCGAGUAAACGGCGGCCGUAACUAUAACGGUCCUAAGGUAGCGAAAUUCCUUGUCGGUUAAAUACCGACCUGCAUGAAUGGCGUAACGAGAUGGGAGCUGUCUCAAAGAGGGAUCCAGUGAAAUUGUAGUGGAGGUGAAAAUUCCUCCUACCCGCGGCAAGACGGAAAGACCCCGUGGACCUUUACUACAGCUUGACACUGCUAUUUGGAUAAGAAUGUGCAGGAUAGGUGGGAGGCUUUGAGUAUAUGACGCCAGUUGUAUAUGAGCCGUUGUUGAGAUACCACUCUUUCUUAUUUGGGUAGCUAACCAGCUUGAGUUAUCCUCAAGUGGGACAAUGUCUGGUGGGUAGUUUGACUGGGGCGGUCGCCUCCCAAAUAAUAACGGAGGCUUACAAAGGUUGGCUCAGAACGGUUGGAAAUCGUUCGUAGAGUAUAAAGGUAUAAGCCAGCUUAACUGCAAGACAUACAAGUCAAGCAGAGACGAAAGUCGGUCUUAGUGAUCCGGUGGUUCUGUGUGGAAGGGCCAUCGCUCAAAGGAUAAAAGGUACCCCGGGGAUAACAGGCUGAUCUCCCCCAAGAGCUCACAUCGACGGGGAGGUUUGGCACCUCGAUGUCGGCUCAUCGCAUCCUGGGGCUGGAGCAGGUCCCAAGGGUAUGGCUGUUCGCCAUUUAAAGCGGUACGCGAGCUGGGUUCAGAACGUCGUGAGACAGUUCGGUCCCUAUCUGCCGUGGGCGUAAGAAGAUUGAAGAGAUUUGACCCUAGUACGAGAGGACCGGGUUGAACAAACCACUGGUGUAGCUGUUGUUCUGCCAAGAGCAUCGCAGCGUAGCUAAGUUUGGAACGGAUAAACGCUGAAAGCAUCUAAGCGUGAAGCCAACUCUAAGAUGAAUCUUCUCUAAGCUCUCUAGAAGACUACUAGUUUGAUAGGCUGGGUGUGUAAUGGAUGAAAGUCCUUUAGCUGACCAGUACUAAUAGAGCGUUUGGCUUAUCUUAUUUAAGCAU
rnacentral:rRNA from 1 species